AUUAUUCUGCAGUUUGGACAGACGUCGUGGAAGAGUAUGCUAGGUUUUCUAAACCUUCGUGAUUACAUGACACAUCCAUAGAGCUUCUGAUUUUCCAGGAAGAUUGGAAAUCCACAAGUCUUUUUACCGUAUCUAGGCAAGGGAGUAGUUCUGGAUUAAAGAUGAGUAAUUUCAACUCAAGUGUCUUCCAGUUUACUUCUUAGUGCCGUGUGGUUAAACUACUGGAUAGGGGCUUUCUCGUUUUGCUUCGAGGCC